CUGGUGUCAGCCGCCGCGGUAAUACCAGCACCUCGAGUGGUCAGGACGUUUAUUGGGCCUAAAGCAUCCGUAGCCGGCUUUGCAAGUCUUCGGUUAAAUCCACCUGCUCAACAGAUGGGCUGCUGGAGAUACUACAAAGCUAGGGAGUGGGAGAGGCAGACGGUAUUCAGUGGGUAGGGGUAAAAUCCUCUGAUCCAUUGAGGACCACCAGUGGCGAAGGCGGUCUGCCAGAACACGUUCGACGGUGAGGGAUGAAAGCUGGGGGAGCAAACCGGAUUAGAUACCCGGGUAGUCCCAGCUGUAAACGAUGCAAACUCGGUGAUGCAUUGGCUUAUGGCCAAUGCAGUGCCGCAGGGAAGCCGUUAAGUUUGCCGCCUGGGAAGUACGGACGCAAGUCUGUAACUUAAAG
rnacentral:rRNA from 2 species